rnacentral:rRNA from 1 species
AUUGAACGCUGGCGGCAUGCCUUACACAUGCAAGUCGAACGGCAGCACGGGUGCUUGCACCUGGUGGCGAGUGGCGAACGGGUGAGUAAUACAUCGGAACGUACCUUAUCGUGGGGGAUAACGCAGCGAAAGCUGUGCUAAUACCGCAUACGCCCUGAGGGGGAAAGCGGGGAUCGAAAGACCUCGCGCGAUUAGAGCGGCCGAUGCCUGAUUAGCUUGUUGGUGGGGUAAAAGCCCACCAAGGCGACGAUCAGUAGCUGGUCUGAGAGGACGAUCAGCCACACUGGGACUGAGACACGGCCCAGACUCCUACGGGAGGCAGCAGUGGGGAAUUUUGGACAAUGGGGGCAACCCUGAUCCAGCAAUGCCGCGUGAGUGAAGGAGGCCUUCGGGUUGCAAAGCUCUUUUGUCAGGGAAGAAACACCGGCUCUAACACAGUCCGGGAAUGACGGUACCUGAAGAAUAAGCACCGGCUAACUACGUGCCAGCCGCCGCGUAA